rnacentral:ncRNA from 1 species
GAUGGUGAACUAUGCCUGGCCAGGACGAAGCCAGGGGAAACCCUGGUGGAGGUCCGCAGCGAUUCUGACGUGCAAAUCGAUCGUCGGAGCUGGGUAUAGGGGCGAAAGACCAAUCGAACCAUCUAGUAGCUGGUUCCCUCUGAAGUUUCCCUCAGGAUAGCUUGCACUCGGUUGAGACGAGUCUCAUCCGGUAGAGCGAAUGAUUAGAGGCAUUGGGGUCGAAACGACCUCAACCUAUUCUCAAACUCCAAAUAGAUGAAAUCCCCGGCUUUCUUAAAAGUGAAGCCGUGGGAAUAGGAUCAGAGUGCCAAGUGGGCCAAUUUUGGUAAGCAGAACUGGCGCUGUGGGAUGAACCAAACGCAGAGUUAAGGCGCCUAAAUUGACGCUCAUGUGAAACCAUGAAAGGCGUUGGUUGCUUAAGACAGCAGGACGGUGGCCAUGGAAGUUGGAAUCCGCUAAGGAGUGUGUAACAACUCACCUGCCGAAGCAACUAGCCCUGAAAAUGGAUGGCGCUGUAGCGUCGUGCCUAUACUCUGCCGUCAUGACAAAGAUGAUUAAUAAGCUGUGUGUUAAUUAAUGUUGUACUCUUGACUGCAGUAUUGUUAAUUACAAAGUUUAUUACUAUAUCAUCAUUAUGUCUUGAUGAGUAAGAGGGCCGCGGCGAUGAGCGCAGAAGGGUCUGGGCGAGAGCCCGCCUGGAGCCGUCGCUGGUGCAGAUCUUGGUGGUAGUAGCAAAUACUCCAGCGAGGCCCUGGAGGACUGAUGUGGAGAAGGGUUUCUUGUGAACAGCUGUUGCACAAGAGUCAGUCGAUCCUAAGCCCUAGGAGAAAUCCGAAGCGAUAUGCGCCCGUUAAAUAAUUUUUUUUUAUUAAAUGUUUGGCGCUAUCUGGGCGAAAGGGAAUCCGGUUCCUAUUCCGGAACCCGGCAGCGGAACCGUUCCAAAUCGGGCUCUCAUUUGAGAACUCGUCGGGGUAACCCGACAAGACCCGGAGACGCCGUAGGGAAAUUCGGAGAGAGUUGUCUCUUCUCUAUAAGCGUUCGAGUUCCCUGGAAACCUCUAGCAGGGAGAUAGGGUUUGGAACGCGAAGAGCACCGCAGUUACGGCGGUGUCCGGAUCUUCCCUACGGACCUUGAAAAUCCGGGAGAGGGCCACGAGGAACCCCGCGCCGGCUCGUACCCAUAUCCGCAGCAGGUCUCCAAGGUCAAUAGCCUCUAGUCGAUAGAAUAAUGUAGGUAAGGGAAGUCGGCAA